AUUUCUUUAAUUUUUUUUAACUAUUACUUCCUUAAUUAUUAUGUUCAUUUAAUGCUGUUUAUCUAUACAUUAUAUCUAAAGUUAAGGAAGAUUGCAUUAAAUUACACAUCUCUUAGAAAUGCUUUAUUUAUCCAUGUGGCAAUUUAUCUUUUUUUUUUCCCUUUUUAUUCCACUUUCUUCUUUAUAAGUAUUAUAUUUAUUUAGAUUUCCUAAAUUAUCUAUAAUUUCUCAUUCUUUUUA
rnacentral:misc_RNA from 1 species